rnacentral:rRNA from 1 species
ACCCCAACAGCUAGCCCACCCAAACCCUCCAACAAACAACAUUAAUACCCCCACAACAACUAACACAAGUCAAACAAACCAUUUUUCCCCCUUAGUAUGGGAGACAGAAAAGGAUCUUCCUGGCGCCAUAGAAAUAGUACCGCAAGGGAAAGCUGAAAGAGAAAUGAAAAAACCCAGUAAAGGAAAUAAAAGCAGAGACACAACCUCGUACCUUUUGCAUCAUGAUUUAGUAAGUAAAGAUCAAGCAAAGAGCCCUUUAUGUUUGAAUCCCCGAAACUAAGCGAGCUACUCCAAGACAGCCUGUAUUAGGGCAAACCCGUCUCUGUGGCAAAAGAGUGGGAAGAGCUUCGAGUAGAGGUGACAGACCUACCGAGCUUAGUAAUAGCUGGUUGCCUAAGAAAUGAAUAGAAGUUCAGCCUUUUAACGUCUCUAACCUAAUAAGGCGAUGCCCUGCCACGGACAAAAGACCACUAAAAGAGUUAUUCAAGAGAGGGACAGCUCUCCUGAAAAAAGAUACAACUUUAAAAGAAGGAUAAAGAUCAUAAUAUUUUAAGGAAAUAUACCCAAGUGGGCCUAAAAGCAGCCACCCCAAAAGAAAGCGUUAAAGCUUAAGUAUUUACCCCCUACAAUACCGAUAAAAAUAUCUUUAACCCCUUGCAACUAUUAGGCCUACCCAUGCAACCAUGGAUAAGAUAAUGCCAAAAUGAGUAAUAAGAGAGCCCAGACUCUCUCCUGCGCAUCCGUGUAACUCAGAACGAACCCAUCACUGACAAUUAACGCCCCCAACCUCAGAGGGAAAUGAGAGAAAUCACACAAGCAAGAAAAUCUCCCAACAUAUAAGCGUUAGCCCUACACAGGAGUGCCUCACGAAAGACUAAAAGGAAAAGAAGGAACUCGGCAAACAUUAGCCUCGCCUGUUUACCAAAAACAUCGCCUCUUGCCUCAUAAUAUAAGAGGUCCCGCCUGCCCUGUGACUAACAAUUUAACGGCCGCGGUAUUUUGACCGUGCGAAGGUAGCGUAAUCACUUGUCUUUUAAAUAGAGACCUGUAUGAAUGGCAUAACGAGGGCUAAGCUGUCUCCUUUCCCCAGUCAAUGAAAUUGAUCUGCCCGUGCAGAAGCGGGCAUAACAACAUAAGACGAGAAGACCCUAUGGAGCUUAAGACAUCCGAACAAUUCGUGUUAAGAUUCUUAAAUUACCAAGAAGAAACCAAAUGACCAUUGUUCCCCUGUCUUUGGUUGGGGCGACCGCGGAGUAAUAAAAAACCCCCACGUGGAAUAGGAUAAAACCCUAAAGCCAGAGCCACAGCUCUAACAAACAGAAUAUCUGACCAAAAAGAUCCGGCAACGCCGAUCAACGGACCCAGUUACCCUAGGGAUAACAGCGCAAUCCCCUUCUAGAGCCCAUAUCGACAAGGGGGUUUACGACCUCGAUGUUGGAUCAGGACUUCCUAAUGGUGCAGCCGCUAUUAAGGGUUCGUUUGUUCAACGAUUAAAGUCCUACGUGAUCUGAGUUCAGACCGGAGAAAUCCAGGUCAGUUUCUAUCUAUGACAUAACUUUCCUCUAGUACGAAAGGACCGGGGAAAGGAGGCCUAUGCUUAAAGCACGCCUCACCCUUACCUAAUGAUGCCCACUAAAAGAAGGCAAAAGGGCUUAUUCAAAUAGUCUAAGAUAAUAGACAAA